rnacentral:lncRNA from 10 species
GGAAGCCGAGGCAGACUGAUCACCUGAGGUCAGGAGUUAAAGACCAGCCUGGCCAACAUGGUGAAACCCUGUCUCUACUAAAAUACAAAAAUUAGCCCAGUGUGGUGGCGGUCACCUGUAAUCCCAGCUACUCACGGGCUGAGGCUGGACAAUCCCUUGAACCUAGGAGGCAGAGGUUGCAGUGAGCCGAGAUCACACCACUGGACUCCAGCCUGGGUGACAGAGCCAAACUCCAUCUCAAAAAAAAAAAAAAAAAAAGGAAGAAGAUAGGAGAAAUGCACGUAACAGAUUAUUCCUUACAGCCCCCAGAAGGAGCCAACCCUAGCAAUACCUUGAUUUUGGAUUUCCGGCCUCCAAAAUGGCGAGAAAAUAAAUUUCUCUUGUUUUAAGCCACCCAGUUUGUGAUUAUUUGUUUUGGCAGACAUAGGAAGCUACUACUGCUGAUAUGGGGCAGGCUCUCAAAGAAAUACCCUGAUGAACUGGCGUAAAUGACUGAAAUCAGGUCUUUAUUAGAUCACCUAGUGGCCCAGUGGUUAAAAGCAUAAACUUGGGAGAUAGACAAACCUGCAUUUCAAUCUCUGCUGGAAUACUCAGCCACUGUGUGACCUCAGAUGCAGAAAAACGAGCGGAGGAUUCCAAGGCCCAAGAAGACACUGCAGCUACCAGAUAAAAGAUACUUGGCUUUUGGGUCCAUGAAUGACUGUGUGGAGUAAGCCUCCAUCCACUUCACCCCCAACCAGUUUAUUUAUAUAUUGGACCAU